rnacentral:lncRNA from 1 species
CUUCACUCUGGUUGCUGGGACCUGCUCACCUUCUUGGCCCUAGGAGUCUGGGAUGUAGUGGGGGAGCUUCCUUCCUGGUCCUUGGACAAGCUGGGCUUCAGUGCCCUAGGAGCCUGGGAUGGAGGCGGGGUGCUUCCUUCCUGGUGCUGGGACCAGCUGGGCUUCACUGCCCUAGGAGCGUGAGAUGGAGGCUGGGGAGCUUCCCUCCAGGUGCUAGGACUGGCUCACCUUCUUGGCACCAGGAGCUUGGGAUGGCAGCGGGGGUGCUUCCUUCGGGGUGCUGGGACCAGCUGAGCUUCACUGCCCUAGGAGCCUGGGAUGGAGGCUGGGAGCUUCCUUUCUUGUGCUGGGACCAGCUGGGCUUCUUGGCCCUAGGAGCCUGGGAUGGCAGCCAGGGAGCUUCCUUCCGGGUGGUAGGUCCAGCUGAGCUUCACUGCCCUAGGAGCCUGGGAUGGAUGCUGGGGAGCUUCCCUCCAGGUGCUGGGACCGGCUGAGUUUCACUGCCCUAGGAGCCUGGGAUGGAGACUAGGAGCUUCCCUUCUGGUGCUGGGACCUCCUCACAUUCUUGGCCCUAGUAGCAUGGGAUGGAGGCUGGGGAAGCUUCCCUUCUGGUCCUUGGACAAGCUGGCCUUCACUGCCCUAGGAGCCUGGGAUGGAGGCUGGGGAGCUUCCUUCCAGGUGCUUGGACCAGCUCACCUUCUUGGCCCUAGGAGCCUGUGAUGGCAGCAGGGGAGCUUCCUUCCAGGUGCUGGGAUCAGCUGAGAUUCGCUGCCCUAGGAGCCUGGGAUGGAGGCGGGGAGCUUCCUUCCGGGUGCUGGGACCAGCUGAGCU